UCCGCCGCCCCGCCCCGCACCCAAUCCUGGCUCCCGGCUCGCCGGGCCCCGCCCCUCCGCUUCCUCGCGGGGCGCAGUCACCUUCAGGAGGAAGUGCCGCGGCACCCAACGCGCUGCCAGGUUGCCCUUUAGGGGAGGACUACAUUCCGUGGCGGAAGGACACGUUACAUAAAAGUCUCGGCAUGAACGCUCUGCGCAGGCCAAUGAGGAAGUGGCGAGGCAGCGGGGCCCGCCCCGGGAGCUCCGGGGACCUCCCUCCCAGACCCCCGGGGCCACCACCUGUUGCUGCCAGCUUGGAGUGCCGGACGAGGGCUCUUCUCUUGACCCUCGGCCCAGGCUGCCCUAGCUGUCCUGGCCUAACCGGGCAGUGCGAGAUUUAUGGAUCCUCGGCAGCAUUCCCCCAGCCCUGUCCUGCGACUCCCCAUCCCUCCGGGUGCCCGCCCCAGCACACACCUCGGAAACCGUGCCGCACAGGCAGUUAGGGAGCCCGAGAUGGGAUCAGAAGGUAUUUUCCGACUUUCCGAGGGCUAGUCAACAACCAAUGAUGAAGGCAGUUUAUCAAUGAAACAGCCGUUAAUUCUUGCCUUCAUGAAGCCAAGUUUUGAGAACAGAUACAACGCUGCCUCAUUAAAAAUCGUUAAGACCAUA